rnacentral:rRNA from 1 species
CCUACGGGAGGCAGCAGUGGGGAAUAUUGCGCAAUGGGGGCAACCCUGACGCAGCAACGCCGCGUGAUUGAAGAAGGCCUUCGGGUUGUAAAGAUCUUUAAUCAGGGACGAAAAAUGACGGUACCUGAAGAAUAAGCUCCGGCUAACUACGUGCCAGCAGCCGCGGUAAUACGUAGGGAGCAAGCGUUAUCCGGAUUUACUGGGUGUAAAGGGCGUGUAGGCGGGCCUGUAAGUCAGAAGUGAAAUCUGGGGGCUUAACCCCCAAACUGCUUUUGAAACUGCGGGUCUUGAGUGAUGGAGAGGCA